GAGGAACUGCAUGACCUGGAGAAAGACUCCAUGGAGAAGAAGCUCCAGAAUCAAAAACUCAUCGAGCAGCUCAAGCUGAACACCACAGCACAACAGCACAUCUGGGCUGAAGAUAGAUGCCUUGCUCAUCCAGAACCAAUAUACAGCUUUAGAGAUCGGGCGUCAGGAGGAACUGCAUGACCUGGAGAAAGACUCCACGGAGAAGAAACUUCAGAAUCAAAGACUCAUCGAGGAGCUCAAGCUGGAAAAUCUCCCUGCCAUCCGCCAGCCACGUCCAGCCCUAAAUCGUCUCCUUUCCUGCUUUUGGAUUUCUGCCAACAUCAGCUCAGCACCCGCCCUUGGAUUCA